rnacentral:tRNA from 1 species
UCCCUGGUGGCUCAGAUGGUAAAGAACCUGCCUGAAAUGCAGGAGACCUGGGUUCAAUCCCUGGGUUGGGAA